UGGCAACAUUGGAGUCUGCAGCAAUAUUGUGGACAUAUUUUCGGACGGAUUUAACAUUAUCUGCAACAGAAUGAUUGACUUCGUCAACGGUUACUGGCUCUCGCUUAUUAUCCUCGUUGGCAUCUACGUGUACGGAAUUUAUAUAUCGCUGACCGCUUCCAAGUAUCUCUACACCAUGGAGAGCUACACUUACGAAGGAGAACCUGUACGACCCGACACAAAAUUUGAAGACCU